GAUCUGAGUGCACAGCCAGGGAUUCCAUCUGAGCCAGUUGCUUUCCAUGGGUUCACGCCCAAGAAGGCCAAUCUAACGUCUGCAGCAGUGACAGUGGGUCCAAGUGCAGCCGAAGCUGUUGGGAUAGAUGACAUCACUUCAUUGACCUUCUGUUCAAAGCGAGCAUAGAUGCAUUGAGCUCGUUGGGUAGGGAUGUACUGUUGUCCGCGAAUCUGUUUGACUUCAUUUUGAAGCACAUUAUGUCGUUUUGAGCCUUGCCACGAACAACGGGUGUCCAUGUGGUUCGUUUGGGUCUCAGGCUUAGUUUGGUAUUGCCUUUUGGGGUCUCUGAUGGCCUUACGAAGGUCAUACCUUGAUUUCCUGUGUAGGUCAGGGUUGCCCAACUUGUAUGCUUCAGACCCGGAUGUUAGUAGGGAAUGGAUCCCCUGGUUUAUCUAUGGUUUCUAGUUGGGGAACAUUUGGAUGAAUUUCUUCGGCAUGCAGUCUUAUACACACUUACCAAUGAAGUCUGUAGUGCAAAACUUGUCUAGGUUGGCUGAUACAUUCUUGAAUAUUGACCAGUCCAACAAGUCUAAGCAGUCCCAUAGAAGCUGUUCCAUUGCCUCAGACCUUUCUGUACUGGGUCCUCACGCUUCAAUUUCCUCUUGUAAGCCAGGAGGAGGAACACAACGUUGUGAUCUGAUUUUUCCAAAAUGCGGAUGGAGAAUGGAGCAGCUGGCAUCUUUGGUUGUGUAGCAAUGGUCAAGGAUGUUCGAAUGUCUGGUGGGACAGAGGACGUGUUGAUAAUAUUUUGGUAGCACCUUCUUGAGGUUGGCCUGUUUGAAGUCACCAGCUACGAUGAACAAGACCUCGGGCUAUUCUGUCUCAAGACUGUAGCGUUGUAUACUUCGUCAAGUGCACUCUUCACUUCCAUAUGGGGUGGGAUGUAGGCUGCUAUCAGGAUAGUGGAGGUGAACUCUUGCGGCAGAUAGUGGGCUCACACUUUAAGAUAUUCUGGGACCAGGGAACAGUAACUUGCCAGGGUCGCCAUGUCUGAACUCCAAGAAGUGUUGAUUAGGAUGCAGACCCUACUGCCUCUUGCUUUGCCCAAGCGCACUGAGCAGUCCAUUUGGUGAACUGAGAAACCCUCAGGUUGUAACGUACAGUCAGGUGUAGCAGGAGUGAGUCAUGUCUGUAAAACAGAACACACAACAGUUUCAAUUCCCUCUGGAAAGUGAGUCUAGCUUGAAGCUCAUCUAUUUUGUUCUCAAUGGUUUGGACGUUUGCCAGGAGUACACUGGGGAGGGCGGCCCUUGAAACCCUGAAGUUCAGUCUUAUCUGAAGUCCAGCGCGUUUCCAGUGUUUUCUUAGUAGGUAGCAGCUCCUAGUUGACCCUGGGCAUUGGUGAGGGAAGUCUGCUGCUCCAAGAGGUAAGUGUGUGCUCCUGGUGGGGUCCUGUGCACCAGUCACGGUCUUGAGUGCUCUGGGGGGGGUUUUGUGGUCGGUUUGGUUGGGCCUCCUUGAUAUUGGGUCACCAUGGGCUCAGGUCUUGUUCAAGCGCUGGUUAGGCCUUGGGUCCAGGUUUGCAUGAGGUUGGGCCUUCAAGAGGCCAGAAGGUCUCUGGGCUUGCGGUCCCACUUUGGCGAUGUAAGAAGGUGCUUUUGAUGGGGUUCUAGGCAUUAAUCUCGUUCACAUGCGCUCCAGAGGGUCUUGCAGUCAUUUUGGUCAGGCCUUCUCAAUGUUGGGUCACCGUAGGGUUACGUCUUGUUCCUGCACUGGUCAGGUCUUAUUCUGGGUUUCCAUGAGGAGAUUGGGCUUCUGGGAAGCUGGUAGGCUCUUAAUUCUCCUGGGGUUGUGGUUCCAGCAUCAUCAGUUUUUAAGCCUCAUCAGUCCUAGAAUCUUUACACUUGAAAGUAGAUUUAAGAGAACAUUGUUAGUAAUUCUGAUUAACUUAGAAUUGAGGUUUCGAACAAUUAUAAGAUAUAUAAGAAUAAGAUCUGCUGUGAACAGCUCGCAAGAUGUCACCGCACUACGGCGCCAUUUUGAAAAUUUGAGAAGUUGGCUAUUAACGACAUCAGUACCAGGGAAUUAGUUUUAGCAAGCCUGGAAAAGCCUUUAAGCUGAUGGCAAAUGUUGAAUGGUAACUGGGACCUGAGGAAAUGAUCAGUCUGACAGGGCCUAGUGAGAUUUUGAAUUGGAUUUUGGAUGUUCUCUGUGAACAGUACUCUGGCUGUUGAUGAUAUGGCAUGAGAAAUUGAAAGUUCCCUUCCUAAGCUGUCUUAUCAACUCGUGGCAGUUUAGAGAAUAGGACACCUUAAGUAUUACAGCAAACUUUGUUUUAACCAGCACCUUAUGAACUGGCACUCUUGAUAAAAUUAUAUACCUCAAAAUACCAGACGUUUAUUGUGUUGUUACAAUCUCCGCAAUCUCCAACUACUCAGUUGCCUGGAGUAAGAAGGCUCUCUGCUGGGACUGUUCCUGAAUCAAGAGAGAUUUGCAUUGACAUAGUUUGGAUACCUACAACGUUCUCACCUACUUCCUUGAAAACCUGAAAUGAAAAUCCACUUCUGGGAAUUCAGCAGUCUUUAUUCUCAUUUUUUCUCAUGUUAAUUUUGGUGAGUCUGCUCAGAUUCACGAAUGGUGGGCAAGUCAUCCUCUUUCUCUGUUAUAAAUGCUGAUAUCAAGUAAUUACACAGCAAACCCGCCAUUAACAAUAUCCCAAUUUCAGUUUUCAAGGGGCCACAUUGCACCUGAUUAUCCACAAUGUCUAAUUGUAGAUAUGUUGAUUUUGACAUCUUUUGCAAGUUAGGUUCUGGACAUCUCUCCCAGUUGCCAGGAUCAAUGCCAUUUUCACAUUUUACUUUUGUUUUUAUUUUGUUCUUUACCUCUUAAGUUGUCUGUGGAUAUUUUUGACGAGAAAUACUCCUGCCUUUUAGGGGAAUAAACUUGUUUUUGAACACC